rnacentral:rRNA from 1 species
AGCAGCCGCGGUAAUUCCAGCUCCAAUAGCGUAUAUUAAAGUUGUUGCAGUUAAAAAGCUCGUAGUUGAAUUUCGGGAUCAAUUCGUCGGUCGUGCUUUUUUGGUACGUACUGGGGUUAUUGGUUUCUCCCUUCUGACGAACCAUGAUGUCAUUAAUUUGGUGUUAUGGGGAGUUAGGACUGUUACUUUGAAAAAAUUAGAGUGUUUAAAGCAGGCAUUAGCUUGAAUACAUUAGCAUGGAAUAAUGAAAUAGGACGUUCGAUCCUAUUUUGUUGGUUUCUAGGAUCAACGUAAUGAUUAAUAGGGAUAGUUGGGGGCAUUAGUAUUCAAUUGUCAGAGGUGAAAUUCUUGGAUUUAUUGAAGACUAACUACUGCGAAAGCAUUUGCCAAGGAUGUUUUCAUUAAUCAAGAACGAAAGUUAGGGGAUCGAAGACGAUCAGAUACCGUCGUAGUCUUAACCAUAAACUAUGCCGACUAGGGAUCGGAUGAUGUUAAUUUUUUAAUGACUCAUUCGGCGCCUUACG